rnacentral:misc_RNA from 1 species
GAAGACAUCAAUAAACUGGGAUCUCCUUAGAUAGUAAAUGAACUGUGGGAAAAGGGAUAAAUUAGUUGCAAGACGGAAUGAUGAGGGGUCUUCCGGGAUGUAAUCUCCAAACUUUGAAGCAAAACGUAUCAAACGCUUAUCUAGCCACCGGACAACAUCUUGAGAAAAAUUGCUCUCUGCUCUAUCAAUGGCAAGCCUAGCCAUCACUGAAGCUGCUGCUUCCUGAUC